UAGAGUUUGAUCCUGGCUCAGGACGAACGCUGGCGGCGUGCUUAACACAUGCAAGUCGAACGGAAAGGCCCGCUUGCGGGUGCUCGAGUGGCGAACGGGUGAGUAACACGUGGGUAACCUGCCCCCUGCUUCGGGAUAACUCCGGGAAACCGGGGCUAAUACCGGAUAUUCAUUGCUGGCCGCAUGUUGUGGGGUGGAAAGCCUUGUGCGGCUAGGGAUGGGCCCGCGGCCUAUCAGCUUGUUGGUGGGGUGAUGGCCUACCAAGGCGACGACGGGUAGCCGGCCUGAGAGGGCGACCGGCCACACUGGGACUGAGACACGGCCCAGACUCCUACGGGAGGCAGCAGUGGGGAAUCUUGCGCAAUGGGCGAAAGCCUGACGCAGCGACGCCGCGUGAGGGAUGACGGCCUUCGGGUUGUAAAGCUCUGUCGGAGGGGACGAAAACGCUUAGGGUGAAUAGCCCUAGGAAUUGACGGUACCCUCAAAGGAAGCACCGGCUAACUCUGUGCCAGCAGCCGCGGUA
rnacentral:rRNA from 1 species